UGGAGAGAAGUUCAGAGGAUUGUAAAAUCUUCCAGCUGCAAGAAGGCCAAGCAGAGAUUUCAGCUCUGUCUUCUGACUCAGCCCACAGGAAAGGCCAGGCAAGAGGAGGCAUUAAAUAAAGAGCUCAGUGACACACAGAGGUGUGAACCUGAGUGAGGCGGAGGGCUCCUUGACUUAUCCUGGGGCACACAGCAGGCAAAGCCCCUGGAGGCCCCGUGGCUGCAGAGGAGCUUAGACCUCACCUGGGGCACAGUGGGGCCGGGGCCAGUAGGUCUGACGAAUGAUUGUUCUUCCAGGAACAGGGAACGGUUCUUGCUGCUGUCCUUGCCCGCUCUUCCCUGCCCUCCCCCAUGGACAGGGUCAGGAUUAGGAGGCCAGCAGACCCCAGCCUAUGCUAUGGAAGUGAGAGAAGCAACAGAGGAGCCUUGUCCAAAGGCAAAAUCUGCCACAGUGGGUAGUUUCCAACAGUGAAAUCAAACAACACAAUGGCUUGUGGAUUUUUUUUAAUAACAAAAAAAGUAUUUGGGGACCACUUGGGUGGCUCAGUCAGUUGAGUGUCUGACUCUUUGAUUUCAGCUCAGGUCAUGAUCUUACAGUUUGUGGUCUCUGUGCUGACAGUGCAGAGCCUUCUUGGGAUUCUCUCUCUCCUUCUCUCUCUCUCUGCCCCUCCUCUGCUCCCUCUCUCUCUCUCUCAAAAAUGAAUAAAUAAAAUAAACAUUUAAAAAAAAGUAUUUUCAAGAUAAAUCUCAUGUAGAAGUCAAGAAUUUACAAAAGAUGAGUAGCAGAGAGAUUCUGGUUUAAAGAGAGAUGAAGGAAUCCCAGAAUGUCCUCCUUCCACCUAUUUCCAACCUAGAUACUUUCAAGGACACUAGGGCCAUAAGCAAGGUUGGACCCCUUGGCAUCAUCAGGAAUGGUCAAGGACCCCAAGCAAUCUAACUCUUCUUAGAAAUUUAGUAGCAAUCCAUUACCAUACAGUUUUCUAAAAUCCUAAAAAAAAAAAAAAAAUCUAUUUUCCACCUGUAC
rnacentral:lncRNA from 1 species